CGCGCCGCAGGGAGCGCCCCCGCCCCUGGGACCCUGCGCCUCUCAGCGCUCCUGCAGCCCGGCGGACCGGCUGGACCCCCGGAGCUGGCC
rnacentral:miRNA from 1 species